UACUGUGCACCCUGCCCAAUCCUUCUGGCCCCCAGCCAGACAUCUUGGUCUGGGCUUCCCAGCCCUGGUCCAGACUCUGUUCACGACAGUGUGGGAAGGGCUUUUGUCUGGCCCAGCUGUCCCCCACUCACUGGGAGUUCUCCAGGGGCAGGUUGGAUUCAUCUCUGUGCCCCCAUGUCCAGCAGAGUGGGACGUGGGAAGACUCAAGAAAGCUUGUUUAAUAGACAAAUGAAUGCAUGAAUGAGUCAGCCAUUCUUCUGGAACUUCUCCAGGAUAACACUCUACCACCCCUCUUCUUCUGACCAUCUUCCCUGAUGGUGGUUUCUAGAACCCUCUGCCUCCUGCCCCCUUCCUAAACCUACUCCAAGCCUCGACUUUCCUCCCCACAUGUGAACCCCAGGUGCAAACCUUGUCCUGGUCACUCCUCUGGAACAGCAUCCUGGCUCUGGCUCUGGGGGUGGCACAGUCCUGUACAUGCAGUGUUGACUUAACUUAUUUCACUGGGUCACUUAUUCUUUAUUUAUCCAAGUCUUUACAGAGCCCAGAAUAUAUGCCAUGCAUUGGGGAUACAGCACAAAAACAGAUAAGGUCCCUCCCAUUUUGAGGCUCACUCAGGAGAGCAGGGAACAGAGGACCCAGUAGCCUCCAGUCAGUUGCUGGUGUUGUCCAGGUGAGCUGGGGCAUCUGCAGGGGUAUAGUGGGGAUAUCCCCACCAUAAUAGGAUGGGAGGGCUGUGGGCUCCCAUAAUAGGAUGGGAGGCAACAGCCCAGACAGCAGGCUGAGUUGCAGGUCUCAGUCUAACUCCCAGAAUGAAGUGUGUAGAAGGAUGGAGGGCAGUGAGCGUCAGGGCUGGGAUUCACGACACAUGAUGACCCAGACAGGUGGUGAAGUGGCAGGUCAUGAUUUGAGAGUCCAGCAGCCCUGACACACCAGCAAGGUCACUCUCUGAGCUCUUCCUUUUCUGAAGAAUGGGUGUUAAUAAUCCCCACUUCAGUAGAAGAGGAAAUAAAUGUCUACAGGGAAGGCCCCCUGGCACAGAUGAGGGGCUGAAGCUGGGGCCAGGGACUGCCCUGAAGCAUGGGGUUGGGGCCAGAGCUGCUCAAAGUCCUCCUGUCUUCUUCUAAGGGAGGUCUUGAAGCUAAGAUGAGGCCAAGGUGGGAAGGUGGACGGGCAGCUGUUCAAGAGGAUUAGGGCAAAGGGUGGGGGGUUGGGAGAGAUUCAGUUUUGAGUUGGGCGAUUGAUGUACAUGACUAAAAUCCUCACAAGCCUAAGGUGGAGCACAUCUCACCCCGAGGAAACCGAGGCUUGUACAGGAAGUGACCUGCCACAGGUAAGUGCAGAGCUGGGCUCAAAUUCAGAUUCAUGAGAGCCUUGCACUCCUGCCCCGAUCUUACACUGAGGUUAGGGGCUUUCUGGCUCUCCCCUCCUUUCUCACAGUUGAGCUUUGGGGUCAUGAGCUGGUCCUCCCCUCCAUGAUUGUGACCUGUGGCAUUAAACAACUUCUCUGUCCUUGAUCUUCUUCAUCCACUGUUUUCAGGACAGUCUGGAGUCCUGCAGGAGCCCAGCUGUGUGGUCCAGGUUCUACAGUAGCUUCUGUGCUGAGCACCUGGAGGGCUGGGGCCAUAACGCCUCAUCCAGGGCCCCGCAUGGAACAGGAACCAGGCAAGUAUUUGCUAAAGAAGGAAGGGGCAGAGGGUGGCCUGGGAUUCCAGAAUGCCCUGAGUGGGUGAAACUUCCCCACAGUGCAGAAGGGAAAGAAUAUCGACUAUCAAGUGUGGUGACUCACUGUCCCAAAUGUGAAUCCCACCCUUGGCCAUCGUUUUUCAAAUUUCAGUAAAAGAAAUAAUAUAAAAUUUACCAUUUUAAUCCUUUUUGAGCGUACAGUUCGGUGUCGUGCAACCAGCACCACCAUCCAUCUCCAGAACCUUGUCAUCAUGCCAAACUCGUGGCAGUUUCUGCAGCCUGAGUGCCCUUAGGCAAGUGAGUGCCCUGGCCCUGGGCCUCUGAGUGCUUAUUUACACACCAAGGAGUGCCCUGCCGCAGGGCUUGUUGUGGGGCUGAAGCAGAUGGAUGCGGCCGAGCUUCCCGGGCCUAGUGGGGUGCACCCAGGAGUGGCUGGUUUUGUUCCCACCAUCAGCACAAGUCAGCCCCUCAAGGACACUCGCUAAAGGGCAAGACUGCAUGUAAUGAUAAUGGUCCUGUGGCACGGGCCUGACACUGCAUGGAGGAGACCCACUGGUGGGCAGCUAGGAGACCUGGAUCCUAAAGCCACCCUGCUGCCCACUAGCUGUGUGGCUUUGGCCAAGUCGGCCUCCCCUGGGCCUCUGCUUGUACAAAGAGCAGGUGCACCAGGGGGCACUCUUGCACGUGGUGCCCAAAGCCUGUUCCGUUCCCUUAGUCCUCAACCUCAGUCCUCAUCUGACUCCUGCCAGGGCUGGGAGACCAAUGAGCAGUUACUUGUGCAUGUGGAAGGGGAACCAGUGCUAGGCUGCAAGACCCUCAGGGAUGGAGGUCCUGGCUCUCUCUCAUUCACACAUUCACUCAUUCAUUCACUCACAUGUUUGGUGAACCCUCAUCUGUGCUAGGCCCCAGGCCGGACUGGCUAUAAGGGACCUUGUGCCUGCCCUCCAGGGGCUCCCAGUCCAGCGGGAGGUGCCAGACUUGCAGGGACGAGAUGAUAUUCCCGGUAUCCUCUAACCUGAGGAGGGGCAAGGUGGUGCGAGGCCUGCGGUGUGGACGGGCUGCAGCAAGUGCUCCCUCAAGCUCUAUCUACUCAUCUGCAAGGCAGGUGUGCAUAAUGCAGCCACCCUUCGGGUCUGUGUGAGGAGCAAACAAGGGGGUGCUCAUAAAGAACGGAGCAUUGCUGCUCAGAAAACAUUCGGGCUCAUGCAAACACCACACAGGUGCGGUGAACCCCACAAGGAAAUGUUGCAUGUGUGUGUCCGUCUGUCCCUCAGCCAAACCCUUCCUGGCACCUGUUGGAACAAAGCAUUUUUCAGGUGCUGCGUUGCAGACCUCCCAUAAACGGGGCUGCUCAGUUCUGUGUGGUACUUCUUGAGAACCCGUAGAGAUGCUUAUCUGCGCUGAACUGUGGUUCUUAGAAGGGAUCUACUGUUGGUUGAACAUAAACUUUGGGUCUAGGGACACAGAAGAGCAAGAUGCAAGCCCCUCCCUCCAGAUCCUUGGUCUUGUGGGUAGAAGACAGGUGUGAAACUUCAAGUGGCCUGCCCUUUGCGGGGUGGAAGUGUGACCCCAAACCCUGCCCCCUGUGCAGGUGGGGGUGGGGUAUUGAGUGGAGAGAUUGACUCGACUCAUGGAUAGAAGGCAGGACCAAAACUGAGGUGAAGGACUGUUUUUGGUCACUUCUGAUGUUUCUUCUCAAAAUACCACCACCACCACCACCACCACCACCACCACCACCACCACCACACACCUCACACGUGCAUAUCAUUUAGGUAUUAAAUCUAAAAUUCCCAUUUUACAGAUGCAGAUGCUGAGGCUUGGAAACCUCAUCCAUUUGCGGAAGAUCACGCUGCUAGCAGGUGCCAUAGUCAGGAGUUGAAUGCUCACACAUGGGGCACCAGAGGCCACCACAGCACCCUCUAUUGCAUCAAAGAAACUUUCUCCCUUUGUGGGUACCUACAUUCCCCUCCUUCCCUUUCUACCAUCCUAUUCUCUGAUGUCCUCAAAAUUUCACCUUAAAACCACAGGACCAGAAGGCUGCAUCCCCUUCCCUGGCACAGACCAUCAGACAAGGACUUCUUGGCUGUGUUUCUCAGGAAAGUGGUAGCUCCGCAAUCCCCGUUUACCUGCAGCACCAGCCUAGGGACAGCCUCCUGCUUAGGGAGCGCCCAGGUACACAGGCUCCACCCUGGGGUGCGGAGCUGAGGACACAGCCUCUUUGUUCUCUUAUCUGCGCCCACAGCCACUUGGAUGUGGGGAGGGCUCUGGGCAGCUCUGCCAACCAAGCAUGGGUUUGCCAAUGAGCCAACUGAGUCCAGGUAUCCACAGAUGUAGUACGUGGGCACAGCAGAACCACCUGGGAGCUUAGAAAAAGUCCCCACCCCAGACCAAUGAAACCGGAAUCUCUGGGUGGGGCCUGGGCAUCAGCAUUUUAUGAAAGCUCCUUACGACAUUCCAUGAUGUGUAGUCCAGUCCGUCUUGGUUGGCCAUAAUGUGGUCCUCGUGGUCAUGGCAGGGGGCCCAGUUUGGACAGUAAUUUGCAUUGAUCCUCAAACCUCCCCUGCAACAGGUUUUAUAUGAUCUCAUGUUAUAGGUUGAAUUUUGUCCCCCCAAAUUUAUACGAAGUCCUAAUUCCUAAUCCCUCAGAGUGCGACCUUGUUUGGAGAUAGGGUCUUCACAGAGGUAGUCAAGGUAGAUGGGGUCAUUGGGUGUGCCUUAACCCAGCAUGACUGGCAUCUCUCUAUAAAAGGAAAUAGACCGGUACAGGGCAAAUGCCAUGUGAGAAUGGGGGGCAGAGACUGGAGAGAUACAUCUAAAGCCAAGGAACACCGAAGAUGCCUGCCAACCACCACAAGCCCAGGGAGAGGCGGGGAACGGGUUCUCCCCGCAGCUCUCAGAAGGAAACAGCCCCGCGGAUGGCUUGAUCUUGGACUUCCAGCCUUCAAGACUGAAACAAUACAUUUCUUCCUUUAAGCCACUCAGUUUGUGCUACUUUGUUACAGCAGCCCUCAGAACCAAUUAUCUUCUUUUCACAAAUGAGCAAAACCAAGAUUAUGAAGUGACUUCCCCAAGGUUACCUGCGCACAGUGACCCUCUUGGGUGCUUAUUUCUCUGCCACUUCUUAAAUGUGGAUCUCCGCCCCUAUCUGAGCCCCCCACCCCCCACCCUAACCCUGUGCCCUCAGCUCUCCAGGUGUUCUCCAUCCAUACACCUUGAGGCAGACAGUGUGCUGCGCACAGGGGCCCAGCAGAAAAACAAGCAACAGACACAGCCCCCACCUCCACAAAAGGCAACAGACAAUAUGCAAAGCCUCUUUUCUUCUGCCAUCAUCCUCUGUAAAAAAAAUUCUGGCUCAGAUGCCUCCUUCCUCUGGAGGCCACAUUGUACAGGAGGCAACUCAUCUUAAUAAUAAGGUUGGUGACUGAAGGAAGUUCCCUGGUUGUGCCUGUUCCUCACUUGGUGGCCCAGGAGAUCAGUGAGUUCAGCGAUCCUGGGGCAGGGGAUCCUCCUCCACUCAUCUGUGCUCCUGAUGUGGGCUGGGCUGCAACAUCCUGUCAGUGCUGGGGGAGGACUAGACUGUCAUCCUGCUGUGUGACCUUGUGAGAGCCACUUGACUACUCUGGGCUGGCUUCCUCCGCUAGCUAAAAGGCCUGGUCCGCACCUUCUUCACUCCAACUUGGAAAGCCAGUGUCCUCAGAUGACUCCUGGGCCUCUGUAACUGUGCUCUCUUAUUUAGUAGCUGCUAGCCACGUGCAGCCGUUCAGCAUCUGACGUGCUGGCUUGUCUGAAUGCAGAUGUGCUGUAAAUAUAAAGUAUAUAUCAGAUUUCAAAGACAAUAUAAAAAAGGAAUUAAAAUAUAUAAUUAA